rnacentral:rRNA from 1 species
UAUUAUUCUAAAAUUAUUUGUUACCUAAGAUAGUAAUAGGUAUUUACUUAAAAUUUAAAAGAUUUGGCGGUAAUUUAAUCUUUUCAGAGGAAUUUGUUUUUUAAUCGAUAAUCCGCGAAUUAUCUUACUUACUAGGGUAAAAUAAAGUUUGUAUACCAUCAUUAUCAGAUAAUUUUUAAAAAAUAAAUUAUUAUAAGUGAAAAUUUAAUUAAAUUAGAUCAUGGUGCAGCUAAUAAGUAAGUUAAAAUGAAUUACAAUAAAAUUUUUUAUACGGAUAAAUAAGAGAAUUUGGAUUUAGAAGGAGGAUUUGAUAGUAUUUUGAGUUUAAUAUGCUUAAAAGAUAAAGGCUCUAAAUUAUGUACAUAU